rnacentral:lncRNA from 1 species
AUGAUCGCCGAGGUCCCCACCGUCGCCAUCGACCUCGUCGAGAUCGAGGUCAACUCCUCCGUCCUCAACGACGAGUUCAUCGCCCACCGCCUCGGCCUCAUCCCCCUCACCUCCGCCGCCGCCAUGGCCAUGCGCUUCUCCCGCGACUGCGACGCCUGCGACGGCGACGGCUCCUGCGAGUACUGCUCCGUCGAGUUCCACCUCGCCGCCCGCGCCACCGACUCCGACCAGACCCUCGAGGUCACCUCCAACGACCUCCGCUCCACCGACCCCAAGGUCUGCCCCGUCGACCAGGCUAGGGCCUACCAGCACGCCCUC